UUUAAGUGCUUUAAAAUUAUUCCUGCUUGUUCCUGGUCCUUCUAUUGGUUUACCCCUGAACUGCCAUACUGCUGGAUUACCUUCCUGUUGCCGCUUAGUACUGCCCUGUCUGCUACGCUCAGAAAAGUUGGAAACCCUAAACAUACCAUCAAUCAAAUGUACAAUUUGCAAUAAAGAAGCCAAUGUCUAGGCUCCCAUUACUUUUCUAGAAAAUCAAGCACGUGACGUUGAUUAUGAUUAAUAUUCUGAUUACAGUAGACCAAAUGCUAUGCCUGAGACAGAAGAUUAGUUUGCUGUCCCCAUUGUUACCAACCCUAUUAUGUUUUCUUACAAGAAAUAAUUUACAGAUUUACUAACAUUAUAUUUUUCAUUUUUCAUAAAACAAUUAUCAUAUCACAAAGUGACUAUAUGAUCACCACAUAUAUAAAAAAAAAGAAUAAUUGUUAUCAUUUAAUUUGAGUGUAAACAUUUACUUUUUGAAAUUAAAAUUUCCU